CCUACGGGAGGCUGCAGUGGGGAAUAUUGCACAAUGGGGGAAACCCUGAUGCAGCAACGCCGCGUGAAGGAAGACGGUUUUCGGAUUGUAAACUUCUGUUCUUAGUGAAGAAUAAUGACGGUAGCUAAGGAGCAAGCCACGGCUAACUCCGUGCCAGCAGCCGCGGUAAUACGGAGGAUGCGAGGGUUAUCCGGAUUUAUUGGUUUUAAAGGUUUCGUAGGCGGACUGUUAAGUCAGCGUUAAAAGCCCGGGGCUCAACCACGGCGAGCCGUUGAAACUGGCUGUCGUGAGAUGUCGAGAGGUAUGCGGAAUGCGCAGGGUAGCGGUGAAAGGCUUAGAUAUUGCGAAGAACUCCGAUUGCGAAGGCAGCAUACCGGCGGCGAUCUGACGCUGAGGCACGAAAGCGUGGGUAUCGAACAGGAUUAGAUACCCGGGUAGUC
rnacentral:rRNA from 1 species